rnacentral:rRNA from 1 species
GAUGAACGCUGGCGGCGUGCCUAAUACAUGCAAGUCGAGCGAACAGACGAGGAGCUUGCUCCUCUGACGUUAGCGGCGGACGGGUGAGUAACACGUGUAUAACCUACCUAUAAGACUGGGAUAACUUCGGGAAACCGGAGCUAAUACCGGAUAAUAUAUUGAACCGCAUGGUUCAAUAGUGAAAGACGGUUUUGCUGUCACUUAUAGAUGGAUCCGCGCCGCAUUAGCUAGUUGGGAAGGUAACGGCUUACCAAGGCAACGAUGCGUAGCCGACGUGAGAGGGUGAUCGGCCACACUGGAACUGAGACACGGUCCAGACUCCUACGGGAGGCAGCAGUAGGGAAUAUUCCGCAAUGGGCGAAAGCAUGACGGAGCAACGCCGCGUGAGUGAUGAAGGUCUUAGGAUCGUAAAACUCUGUUAUUAGGGAAGAACAAAUGUGUAAGUAACUAUGCACGUCUUGACGGUACCUAAUCAGAAAGCCACGGCUAACUACGUG